UACGUAGGUGGCAAGCGUUAUCCGGAAUUAUUGGGCGUAAAGAGCGCGCAGGUGGUUGAUUAAGUCUGAUGUGAAAGCCCACGGCUUAACCGUGGAGUGUCAUUGGAAACUGGAGGACUUGAGUACAGAAGAGGAGAGUGGAAUUCCACGUGUAGCGGUGAAAUGCGUAGAGAUGUGGAGGAACACCAGUGGCGAAGGCGACUCUCUGGUCUGUUACUGACGCUGAGGUGCGAAAGCGUGGGGAGCGAACAGGAUUAGA
rnacentral:rRNA from 1 species